AAAAAAAUCAGAAUGAACAACGAAAACAGAGAAGGAAAAAAGAAGAAAAGAGAAAGAGAGAAAAGGAGGGAUUGAAGUUUUGAAGCUUUAAACUUUAAUAGGAAAUCUUGGCUAAGUAAGGAAAAGACAAAGACAACGGGAGUUAGCUUGGAAAUUACGGUUAAGUUAAAGUGAGAAUGUUGAAUCAGCAUCCCAAGCCGAUCCCGAAUUCAACGAGGUAAAGCGUGUUAAUUGUUGAUAAUGGCAUGUGUAAUAGCCCAAAAUUGGGUCUAGUUGGAACAGAGGUUUCGGGACCACAAAAUAUGAGAUAAAAAUAAUUAUUUUAUGAUUAUUUUGAGGUCUAUAAUAUGAUUGCAUGAUUGUGUGAAAA